CUGUAUUAGUUCUUUCUCAGGCUGCUAUGAAGAAAUACUUGAGACUGAGUAAUUUAUAAAGAAAAGAGGUUUUAAUCAACUCAUCAUUUCACUAAGCUGGGGAGGUCUCAGGAAACUUGCAAUCAUGGUGGAAGGGGAAGCAAGUACCUCCUUCUUCAUAUGGCGGCAGCAAGGAGGAGCACUCAAUAAAAGGGUA